GUAGGGUGCAAGCGUUAAUCGGAAUUACUGGGCGUAAAGCGUGCGCAGGCGGUUAUGUAAGACAGUUGUGAAAUCCCCGGGCUCAACCUGGGAACUGCAUCUGUGACUGCAUAGCUAGAGUACGGUAGAGGGGGAUGGAAUUCCGCGUGUAGCAGUGAAAUGCGUAGAUAUGCGGAGGAACACCGAUGGCGAAGGCAAUCCCCUGGACCUGUACUGACGCUCAUGCACGAAAGCGUGGGGAGCAAACAGGAUUAGAUACCCUGGUAGUCCACGCCCCUAAACGAUGUCAACUGGUUGUUGGGUCUUCACUGACUCAGUAACGAAGCUAACGCGUGAAGUUGACCCGCCUGGGGAGUACGGCCGCAAGGUUG
rnacentral:rRNA from 1 species